AUGAACAAUCAGGAGGGGGUUAAUGCUUUGGGAGUUGAGAGAGUUGAUGGGAGGGACAACCGAAGAAGCAUACCGAGAAGAAAUUCACAUCUGCUUGUCCAAGAUGAUGUAUGUGCUCAUCUUGAUGCCUCGGUAGAUGAUCAUCAUCAUGAAGCCACUGUGAAGGUCCUCGAUUCUUAUAUGCAUUCAGUUUCUGAACCACCUCAACCUUCUUGCUCUUGCUGCUUCGGCCAGCAAGCCUCCCUCCACGGCCGACCCCGACCUUCGCUGCUGCACCAACCCCGCUGCUUUCCUCAUCAAGGUCGAGCUCUCCUACGCGUCGUCGUUGUUGGCUGGAUUGGCCACGGGUUUCCUCUUGUACGGAGGGGAUCUGUACUGGAUGAACUGCUCCGGGGUCUUGCGGUGCUGGCUGAACUGCUCCGGGGCCUCACGGUUCGUGUCUCCGCCAGCGUGCUCGGGUUGGAGCAAGCGAGAACGGAGGAGGAGGAGCUCGCGGCCGCCGGGGAGGGGCUCGUAGCAGGGAGGGGGAGGAGGACGGAUGAAGGAAGGGAGCGGCUAAGGGUUCGUGGGGGUGGCGGCUAG
rnacentral:rRNA from 1 species